ACCGAACAAAAAUCUCCUCCCUCUCCACUCUCUUAACCAUAAAAAUCUCUUAAAAUCCCUCUUCCCAUCGGGUUUCCCCCUUCAAAUUGUUUUUUUAGGAACUAAAUUCUAUUUCUUUUUCUUUUUUGUUUGGGCGGAUCAAGCUUAUCCUAGCUUCAAAUCUUUUUCUGCAAACUGACGAUCUAUCUCCCCAAAAAAUCCUUAUUUUUUCUCUAAAAUCUUUUUCACUCUC
rnacentral:lncRNA from 1 species